rnacentral:rRNA from 1 species
AUUGAACGCUGGCGGCAUGCCUUACACAUGCAAGUCGAACGGCAGCACGGGAGCAAUCCUGGUGGCGAGUGGCGAACGGGUGAGUAAUAUAUCGGAACGUGCCCGGUCGUGGGGGAUAACGUAGCGAAAGCUACGCUAAUACCGCAUACGAUCUACGGAUGAAAGCGGGGGAUCGCAAGACCUCGCGCGAUUGGAGCGGCCGAUAUCAGAUUAGGUAGUUGGUGAGGUAAAGGCUCACCAAGCCGACGAUCUGUAGCUGGUCUGAGAGGACGACCAGCCACACUGGGACUGAGACACGGCCCAGACUCCUACGGGAGGCAGCAGUGGGGAAUUUUGGACAAUGGGCGCAAGCCUGAUCCAGCAAUGCCGCGUGCAGGAUGAAGGCCUUCGGUUGUAACUAGCUUUGUACGGUAACGAAACGGUAGAG